rnacentral:rRNA from 1 species
AACGAACGCUGGCGGCGUGCCUAACACAUGCAAGUCGAGCGAGAAAGUUCCCUUCGGGGAGCGAGUAAAGCGGCGAACGGGUGAGUAACACGUAGGUAACCUACCCUCGAGUCCGGGAUAACCUGUCGAAAGAUGGGCUAAUACUGGAUGCGACUGCGGGAGCGUCAGCUCUUGCGGUGAAAGGUGGCCUCUGCUUGCAAGCUAUCACUCAUGGAUGGGCCUGCGGACCAUUAGCUAGUUGGUGAGGUAACGGCUCACCAAGGCGAAGAUGGUUAGCUGGUCUGAGAGGACGGCCAGCCACACUGGGACUGAAAC